UUCUUUGCAGGAAAGUCAAAUUAUGCUAUACCUACUCGACGCCGCUGUAGAAGAAAAUUUGGUCGAAAAUUCCAAUACACGGACGCUUCAAGAGACGCUCGCAACCCGUCUGAUAAGUACGAUGAAGAAAUGGCAUAAAUAAGUAUUUACAGAGUGCAUUUACAGAGGCGACAGUGCAUUUCACAUUCCCCAACUUAACGCCGAGAAUCACAAAUCUAACAACCAUGAUGGAUUACCUAGUGCCCUAAGGUUCUUAAUUACCUAUCCACCCUAGCAGAGCUAGUGCCAACUACCAACACAAGACUAGACAAGAUUAUGGCUCAUCCAUUUGGUAGACUACUGUGAUAUGACCCAGCAUCUCAAUCAAUUGACAUUGUACAUAUCUGCUGUCAACAGAAGGCAAAAAAUUCGUGGUUCAAGAGGAACUAUGGAAGAGGUGCCUCUCGGCCUAUCUAAGCAUGAUGCAAUGCUGCAACUGCUGGCUGUUGUCAAGAGCUGGCGUGCGAGCGUACACAAUAAACAAUUAUUUAGGACA